UACGUAGGGGGCAAGCGUUGUCCGGAUUCAUUGGGCGUAAAGAGCGCGCAGGCGGUCGUGCAAGUCGCGUGUGAAAGCCCCCGGCUCAACUGGGGAGGGUCACGCGAUACUGCUCGACUCGAAGGCAGGAGAGGGAAGUGGAAUUCCCGGUGUAGUGGUGAAAUGCGUAGAUAUCGGGAGGAACACCAGUGGCGAAGGCGACUUCCUGGCCUGUUCUUGACGCUGAGGCGCGAAAGCUAGGGUAGCAAACGGG
rnacentral:rRNA from 1 species